UGCGUAGGCGGCCAGACAAGUCAGAGGUGAAAGGCUACGGCUUAACCGUAGUAAGCCUUUGAAACUGUUUGGCUUGAGUGCAGGAGAGGAAAGUGGAAUUCCUAGUGUAGCGGUGAAAUGCGUAGAUAUUAGGAGGAACACCAGUGGCGAAGGCGACUUUCUGGACUGUAACUGACGCUGAGGCACGAAAGCGUGGGGAGCGAACA
rnacentral:rRNA from 1 species